CCUCUACUCUAUAUUCACCAUGCUCUAGUCUAGUCUAGACUCCUGGAGGAGGGUUAACAGACAGUCCUCUACUCUAUAUUAACCAUGCUCUAAUCUAGACUACUGGAGGAGGGUUAACAGACAGUCAGUCCUCUACUCUAUAUUCACCAUGCUCUAGUCUAGACUACUGGAGGAGGGUUAACAGACAGUCAGUCCUCUACUCUAUAUUCACCAUGCUCUAGUCUAGUCUAGACUCCUGGAGGAGUGUUAACAGACAGUCAGUCCUCUACUCUAUAUUCACCAUGCUCUAGUCUAGUCUAGACUACUGAAGGAGGGUUAACAGACAGUCAGUCCUCUACUCUAUAUUCACCAUGCUCUAGUCUAGUCUAGACUCCUGGAGGAGUGUUAACAGACAGUCAGUCCUCUACUCUAUAUUCACCAUGCUCAAGUCUAGACUCCUGGAGGAGGGUUAACAGACAGUCAGUCCUCUACUCUAUAUUCACCAUGCUCUAGUCUAGUCUAGACUACUGGAGGAGGGUUAACAGACAGACAGUCCUCUACUCUAUAUUCACCAUGCUCUAGUCUGGACUCCUGGAGGAUAGUCUAGACUAGAGCAUGGUGAAUAUAGAGUAGAGGACUGACUGUCUGUUAUCCCUUCUCCAGUAGUCUAGACUAGAGCAUGGUGAAUAUAGAGUAGAGGACUGUCUGUUAACCCUCCUCCAGGAGUCUAGACUAGAGCAUGGUGAAUAUAGAGUAGACUACUGGAGGAGGGUUAACAGACAGUCAGUCCUCUAUUCUAUAUUCACCAUGCUCUAGUCUAGUCUAGACUCCUGGAGGAGGGUUAACAGACAGACAGUCCUCUACUCUAUAUUCACCAUGCUCUAGUCUAGUCUAGACUCCUGGAGGAGGGUUAACAGACAGUCCUCUACUCUAUAUUCACCAUGCUCUAGUCUAGACUCCUGGAGGAGGGUUAACAGACAGUCCUCUACUCUAUAUUCACCAUGCUCUAGUCUAGACUACUGGAGGAGGGUUAACAGACAGUCCUCUACUCUAUAUUCACCAUGCUCUAGUCUAGACUACUGAAGGAGGGAUAACAGACAGUCAGUCCUCUACUCUAUAUUCACCAUGCUCUAGUCUAGUCUAGACUACUGGAGGAUGGUUAACAGACAUUCAGUCCUCUACUCUAUAUUCACCAUGCUCUAAUCUAGACUACUGGAGGAGGGUUAACAGACAGUCAGUCCUCUACUCUAUAUUCA
ensembl:lncRNA